rnacentral:rRNA from 1 species
UACGUAGGGGGCGAGCGUUGUCCGGAAUUAUUGGGCGUAAAGAGCUCGUAGGCGGUGUGUCACGUCGGCCGUGAAAACCUGCAGCUUAACUGUGGGCGUGCGGUCGAUACGGGCAUCACUGGAGUUCGGCAGGGGAGACUGGAAUUCCUGGUGUAGCGGUGAAAUGCGCAGAUAUCAGGAGGAACACCGGUGGCGAAGGCGACAUCCUGGACCGGUAUUGACGCUGAGGCGCGAAAGCCAGGGGAGCAAACGGG